CAACUUUGCUCAUCAUGUUGGUGAACAUCCACGUACCUCCACAAGGACCACAACAGUUAAUCCGUCAGAGAGAAGACCUCUAGAAGAAGGGAUCAGCAGAAGACAACGAAUCCGGCAAACGCGCCAGGGUUUAACACCUUUAAACUUAGGCGAAUUCAGAGUUGGUUCUUCCUCAGAGGGUUCCGGUUCAAGAUCUAGGCACCCCGAUGCGAUUCCAAGACAAAUUGGCCCACCAUCACCACCACCGUGUACGGUGGUGACUAAAGUCCUGCAAUCGCAUCAGGGUCCAACCGUCGAUGGGAUCAGAAUUUGUGGGUCUUGUUAUAACUCGGAUCAUGUUGAUAAUGUUAUCGAAUUUGCAAUUCAAAAGAAAGUUCAAAGGCUUGAGCUAGAGAAAUCGAAAGAAAAAGACGCCAAGUUUUGGGAGAAGCCAUUCAAAAACCCUUUCGGUGUUUCACGCAUUAAGUCCCUUAGACACCUCUCUUUGAAGUACAUAAGUAUAAGCGAUAAAGUUGUUGGGCUGGUUCUAUCCGACUGUCAACUUCUUGAACACCUCAGUAUUUAUGACUCAAGCAAUCUUUGUGUUGUGAAAGCAGUUGGUUCAUCACUCCGGUUGAAGUUCUUGCGAGUAAGUCGUUGCCGUAGCUUAGUCAGAGUUGAGAUUUCUGCCCCUAAUCUUGUGUCAUUUAUAUAUGACGGUCCAAAUAUGUAUAGAAGAGGAAUUGUUUUGAAACAUGCACCCAAGCUUGUCAACGUAUCUCUUUCAGAAGACGAACCUGCUAAUAUUACCAAAGAUCUUCUGUCGAUUACCAGAGAUCUUCUGUCGAUAUCAGCUCGAUUUUCAUAUAUACAGACUCUCAACCUGUCGAUGAAUAUGACAAGACGGGUUAGACUCUCAACCUGUUGUUUACUUUAAAAUUUUCCUAUCUUCUUGUACUUGUUGGCUGAUCAUUUUCAAGUUUUUUGUGUUCCUGUUUGUCAGACAAAUGUUAUGCUUCCACAAUUUCCAGACUUAACUAGUCUCAAAGACUUGUCGUUGACUAUACAUGCCCAAAAUGAUGGGCAAAGUCUCCUGGAUUUGACUUCCUUGUUAGAGCAAUCUCCUUUCUUGCAGAGAUUAACAUUGAAGGUAAAAAUCAAUACAUCUAUUAGAGUGGUUUAUAUCAUCGCAAAGCGUCUAUCACAUUUUUACAAGUCAUAUUUUGAUCCUCUACUUUUCAAAUAGAUGAAUGUGGUCAUCAACCUUGUAUUACUGACAAUUCCGUUGUUCAUAGAAAGGGAAAGUUCGUUUCAUCAGUAUAGUUUACAAGUAGAGUUAUAGAAAGGGAAGGGCCAUUUCAUGAUUUGAGAUCGUAACAAGUGAAAUUGUUCAAUUUUUCUCUUUACUGAAUUAAACUUCUGCAUGUUUUGAACUUUUGAUACAAGCGAUACUGGGGCGGAGAAACCAAACUCGAGACCUUGGGUAUGAGGGUGGAUGCUCUUAACCAACUAAACUACAAGCCAUUUUUCUCAAACUUCUGCAUGUUGAAGUAACUUGUCAUGAGAAGAUUAAUAUGAUUGUUGUAUGCCCCUCUUCCAGAUACAAUGGGGACCUGUUUGCAAGGGUUAUACCAGAAACAUGCAGGAGAUUAAAAGAUGUCCUCAUCAAUGCCUUAAGGAGGUGAGAUUUUCUGGGUUCAUUGGGAUGGGCGGGUCAAUUAUCGAUACAGAGUUUGCCAUGUACCUGUUGGAAAAUGCUGUGGUACUUGAAAAGUUUAUCGUAGAACUUGAAAAGGUUGAAUUAGCUUUAUGGCCCAAUAUACUGCCAUGGUUUGCUACACCGGAGGAGAAAUUAGAAGCAACAAGGGGGCAUGCUUUGCAGCUCAUUGGAACACAACUACCACCAGGAGCCGAGUUGGUUAUCAUUUAAGCCCUUUCAUUUACCUGUUUUUGCAGCGUACUUGAAGCUCAUUUUAGUUUGCAACAUUUAUAUAAUUCGCAGAUUGCAAGUUUGUAAUUACCGAUCAUGUAAUGUUUUAGGGUUAUGAGUUGGGUGUGAUCUUGGUUUGUUGAUGCCUUUUUUCCUAUAUUUGUUUUAUAAUUUUGACAUUUUAUGAAGAGUGCAACUAGAUUUACUACAUGUCAUAUUUUCAUGCCCAUUCUUCCUUAAUGAAAAUGUUUAUUGCAAAUUUUAUUUAAGGCGGGUCGGGUUGGAAAAUAUGAGAAGUGUAGUUUGAAACAGUGUAUAAAAUUUUUCAAUCGAUUUUUUUUUUUGGAAAUAUCGAAAAAAUCAGAUAACAUAUGAAAAUGGAAAGUGAAGUUUAACGUUCACAAGAUGUCAGAGAAACUCUUAAAUUUCAGCUAAAAUCGACAGAUGUUAUUAAUAUUUUUUACAUCUCGAUUAAAUAUAAAAAAACUGCCAUAUAUCCUAAAGUUUCAUUUUAAAUGUCUACGUUUUUUUUAGCAAAUAUCCAUCACUUCCAUCGAAAGCGACUUAAUAUUAGGGAAUUGUUAUUAGCACUCCUAAAAUCUUAUUCUACACUCCAAACUGCAUGUAGGACGUUAGCAAUCCGGAGUCUAUCUUCACCAGGCCAACAAGACUGCAUGUAGGACGUUAGCAAUCCGGAGUCUAUCUUCACCAGGCCAAACGACUCUUCUGAUGAACUGCAACAAUUGACAAAAUCCCCAACUGGAAAGCCCUGGACAGGAAGCCACGAUAAUUUUUCACACUUCUAGUCAUUGGCUGUAAGAUCUAUACUAGAUUUUGUCAUCAACAUUGUAUUAUUGAUAAUUCUGUUCCUCCUAGAAAUCGCAAAAGCGUGGAAUUUAAAAUGAUGAAUUUAAUGUUCGUUUGGAAGUUUUGAAGUUUUUAUCUGUUUUUUUAUUUUUUAUUUUUUUGGCAUAUAGUUGAGAUUAGUGUUCAUUGAACAACCGAGUGGAAAUUAAAAGCAACAGGAAAGCGUAUUUUUACCACUUGUGAUUUUUUUUUUCAUUACCGCAUGAAGCUUUGUUUUGAACUUUUGAUACGAGCAAUAGUGGGGAGGAGAAACCAAACUCGAGACCUCAUAAAUGAGUGUGGAUGCUCCUAACCAACUAAACUACAAGUCAUUUUCUCAAACUUAUGCGUGUUGAAGUAACUCGUCAUGAGAAGAUUAAUAUGAAUGUGGUAUGCUCCUCUUGCAGUUACACUGGGGAUGUCUUCGAAAGGGUUAUAAGAGAAAUAUGCAGGAGAUUAAAAGAUGUCCCCAUCAAUGCCUUAAGGUGGUGAGAUUUUCUGGGUUCAUUGGGAUGGGCGGGUCAAUUAUCGAUAUAAGACUGAAAAUAGCGAAAGUUUGCAUUGACACAUAUCAUUUGAAGAUGCUCUUAUAUUACUGAUCAUAUAAGGUUAAAGGUCUUUGUUUUCAUAUUUAUUUUAGAAUUUUAAAGGUUUUCUUACACGUCUUAUUUUUCACAACAAAAUUUAUAUAAAGUGGGUCGAAAAUGUAACAACCCGUAUCCAAAUUUAUGUUUUCAAUGAGGAAAAUUACGAAAUUACCCUAGUGACGGAAAGGUCGACUUUUGUUGAAUUUCGUCUGUUAACGUAUUAGAAAUUUUCACUUAUUUUAUUCCCGUAGCUCUCGUCGAUAUGAACGUGUAGGCACGAUUGAAAUAGAAUUUGGAACUAAAACAAAGCUUUUACGAUUUUUGUACAAUAGAGGAAAUUAGGUAAUUUUGUGGUGGAUAUUUUUCUCCAUUUUGGGCCUCUACAUGGCCCACACGUGGCGAUUCCCCACCCCAUUAAUUGGGAUGUUUCCUUCCCCACCCAUGAGCCCUCUCUCUCUAGAACACUCUUGCUCUCUCUCGUCUCAUCUCCGGCGAGAUCACUCACACACCCAUACAUACAUACAUACACACAGACAGCUACCCAACCCUCAUCACCUCUAUCUGGACCUCCCUUCUCUCCCUCACCCCUCCGAGCUCUCUCUCUCUCUCUCUUUCACCUUCUUAGCAUUAUGCAUCGUCACUGUGCACGCGGUGUUUCGAUGAGGUAAGUUGAACUCACCCCUAAUAUAUGACGGGUUUAGUAAGGUGUUUCGCAAGUGUUUGAGGCUUUUUGGUAGUGUUUUAACACAGGAACACCACGGAACCAUUUUCUCUAUAUUUUUCGAUGAGACCCGACGACUUUCGAGCUAAUUUCCGGCCACGACACCACUCCAAAAUGGUACAAAUCUCUUUUUCUGGUGUCAAGCUUCAUUUUGGCUUUUGAAUCGUUGCAAAUGGUGCAUAAACAAGCUUGAUCGGAGCUUGGGAAGCUCCAACUUCGUUCUCCGAGAAAACUAGCCUGGAACCAGGUCGACUCGACUCGUGACCCUAUGACACAACUCUAAACCCAGCCCAAAACCUUGGGCCUAUAUAGCCAAGCCCAAAACAGAACCAGGCCCAAUCCUUUAGGCCUAAACCAAAUCCCAAAACCCCCGGCCUAAUCCAGAAACCCAGUUCACGGUUGGCCCGUGGGUGCGCGUGGUGACCGGCGCGUGGAGCACACACGCCUCAGCUGAAGGAACUGUGCUCCACCGCCGUCCACAGCAACAACUUUUGCGGCCAACUUUUCGGUGACUCAUCUUGAUGUAUGGUGGUGUGUGUGGCAACAAGUGGCCUUUCGGGCCGUCGCCUUGUGGCGGCGCGUGGGGGAAACCGGGGUCCCUUCUUAGGUUAUUCGACAUGCCAAAUCCGAAUCUGCUAUCCAUUUUUGGAAAUUCCAUCGUUUUAGUAGAAUUUUAUUAAAUGCACUCUCUUUGUGUUUAGGUGCAACAAUUGGAAACGAUCCAGUCCAUCCUAGUUCGAGUGGUUCUCCGGUAAUGGAGUACUUGUGAGUAGACCCCUUCUAAACUUACACAUUUUUAUAAAAAAAAAUUAGCCUAGCAUGCAUUUCAUACUUAAUGAUUUGAGCAUGUUUUAUAAUAUGUUUGACAGAGAAUUUAUGAUUUCUUUAAAUUGCUUUUACGGAAUAUUUAUGAUUUAUCGAAUUUACAUUUUACUAAAGGUUAUGAAUUAUUAGAAUUGCAUAUAUGAAAUUCUAUGGAUUUAGAAUAUGAGUUAUUUUGCAGGUUUACAGAUAUGAGAUUCCAUGGAUUUACGGAUAUGACUUACUAUGGAUUUAUGAGACGAAGUUUGAGCUUUUGAGCUAUGGUGAUUUGAAAUGAGAUUUUUAAGGUAUGUUUAAGGUACUUAUCUAAUGGGUUAUCAUACAACACAUCCACACAACACAGGUAUGUAGUCUAUGACCAUAUGACACAUUUAAGGAGAUUUAUGUAUAUACCUCUUCUCCGGCGUAACCUAGAGUCGUACAACUUCACCUUUGGGUGAUGGACCAUGGUUUUCUUCACUGGCAUAACCCAGUGGGGUGGUGGAUAGGUAUUGCCUUCAGAUGGAUGAGGAGCAGAUGAUAUUAAUGAUAUACCCCCAACUUCACUAGCCUAGGGUUAGUGUCAGUGUGUGAUGUUAUAUAUCCUCUUCUCUGGCAUAACUCGGAGUCGUACAACUUCACCUUUGGGUGAUGGACCAUGGUUUCUUCACUGGCGUAACCCAAUGUCGUAUAGCUUCACCUUCGGGUGAUGGACAGGUACUGCCUUUGGGCGACUAUGAUAUCCCUAGAAAUAGUACAUUUGAGGAGAUUUACGGAUUUACCUUCGGGCAGCUAUAUUACUAUUUCUGAACCCUGUUUUAUACACAUUGGUUUUACAAAUGAUUUCAUGGCAUGCUAGGGUUUUCUGGGAAACCUAUUAUGUAGUAUUAUAUUUGUUUGUAAAAAGGGGGUUAGUAUGUUCAGACAUAAAAUGGUUUUCCUAUUAUUAGUAUUAAUAAAAAUUAUGGUCCACUCACCUUUUCUUUUUUCGCCCCCUCAGGACAUAUCAACGAAGAGUACGACCCAAGCUUCGAGGCAUGUCCCUAUCAGUGACCUUGCAUCUCUCCACUUCAGUAUGGAUUCUUUUCAUGAUCAUUGUUACCUAUUGUUUUACUUCGCUCUAGCACUUUCGUUUAGUAGUAUGCUCUGGACAUAUUCAUGAUUGUUGAAUACUUCGUUUCGUUCAUGCUUAAAUUGAAUGCAUUGUUGUUAUUGCUUCUUAAUGUUGCAUAUUCGUUGUGAAUGUUAUUUCUUGCAAAAUUUUGUAUUUCUUAUUCAUUCACAUCCUCAUUGAUUCACACACUCAUAGCUUUCGUCAUCCUUGGGUGUCGGCCAACAUGUGCCAUCCAUGUGGCAUUUGGAUAUCUGGGUUGGGGCAUGUCAGUUUGGUAUCAGAGCUUUAUUGGUUCGAUUUUUAUUGAUUCCGCCAUAAUGUUUUACCUCCUCGAUCCGAUUUCAUUGGUUCCUUCUUAUGGUUUUACUGUUGUUGGUCUAGAGCAUACUUAAGAUUUCGCAUUACUCCCUUGAUUGUUAUUUCCCUUCCCUUGGUUGUUAUUUCGCUCCAAUAAUUUUUAUUUUCUUCCAUUGAUUGUUAUUUCCUUCCAUUCUAUAUAUUUCCUACCAUUGAUUUGUAUUUCCUUCUAUUGAUUGCUAGUUCAUCCAUUAAUUGUUAUUUCCUUCCAUGGAUGGUGGUUUCCUUCCAUUGUUGGUUAUUUCCUUCUAAUCAUUUUUAUUUCUUUUCAUUGGUUGUUAUUUCCUUUCCACUAUUACUAUGUCUUUCCAUUAAUUGUUAACUUCUUCAGAUUAUCGUUGUCUUACUCCAUUAAUUGUUAUUUCUAUCCGUUGAGUACUACUUCCUCCUGUUGACUACUAAUUUCUCCCGUCUUGAUUGAGAAAUAUUUUGUGAUGCUAAACUUUAUUUUUGUUGUUUCUCAUAAUCAUGAACACUCAUGGCGGAAAUGUAUCUCGUCGCAAUAAUAUUAUCUCGUGGCAAUAAUAUUCCUCAACGCCCACAUUUUGGUGUGUUAGGUAGAUUUCAGCAACUGGCUUCCGCUCUGCAACAUGUGUUCCCUAGGAACAGCGGGCAUAGCCACACCUACGUGGAGAUUGCCCGUGUCACGGGGUGAUUGAUUUGAAUAUUGUGGGCGCCUGUGAGGAGGCAAAAGAGUGGCUUGAAAAAGUUGAGGAUGUUUUUAAGGUGAUGCAUUGUCCUGAGAAAGAGCGGGCAAAAACAAUUGGUCAUUUUCUUCGAGAUGGUGCUAAGACCUGGUGGGAUUCUAUCAGACGAUCUUGGCCUUCUAACCCACCGACGACAUGGAGGAUUUUCCGAGAACUUUUUACAGAUUAUUUCCUUAGUCCUCAGUACAUAGCUAGAAAAAGACAAGAAUUUUAUGCUCUUCGCCAAGGAAACUUGUCAGUUAUCGAGCUCGAUUGCCAUUUUAGACGUUUGGUGAAACAUGUUCCCUCAGUUGAUGGUAACUAGCGGGAAAUGAUGUAUCAUCUUGGUAUCACUCUAAGGGAUAAGUUCCGCCCUUUUAUGUCAGUGACACAGUUUGACUCUUAUAAUAGUAUGAUCCAUACAACAUUACGAGUAGAGUGAUCAUUCCUAACUUCCAACAGUCAUAAUCGGUUUCGAGGUCAAUCUUCUCGGGGUCGAUGUUUCCGAUCACAGAGCACUAGAGAGUGCACUUCAUCAUCUAAUAUUGACCCGAGACAUUCAUUUUCGUUCAAAUGUCGUGGACAGGGAUCAUGAUCUUCUAAUGAGGGGUCAGGCAGCGAGGCAGCGAGACAGUUCUUCAGCCACUUCACACCCGCAAUCCCAAUGUGCAUGCGUUGUGGUAAACGUCACCGAGGAGGUUGUGUUGCCGGGGAUGGUCUAUGCUUCAGAUGUGGAGGUAUAAGACACUAUGCUCGUGACUGCCCUAUAAGGCGACCUUUUAAGAGCAUUGCAUCGGGUUCAGGCUAUGCUGGGGGGAGUAGCUCAGGUACUCAGGAGCAGAGCCAGGCACAUCAGCAGAGUUUGUGGACGGCUUCUGGCAACUGCACGUAGAGUAAUUGCCCAGGUAGAGGGUAAUCGUGGUGUUCGCACUCGCAGAGGUAGAGGUCGCAGCUCAAGUCAAGGUUACUGGGCGCAUUAACGUUAUGACUCAUCAGGAGGCAUAACAGGAUCCCCAAGUCAUCACAUGUAUGAUAUUCACUUUUGAUCGUUGGGUACAUGUUUUGAUUGAUCCGGGUGCUACAUUUUCAUUUAUAUCAUCACAGUUGGCACAGACUGUGAACCUGCAACCAACUGAGAUUGGUUUUGAUAUACUGCAUACAGUUACCUCAUGGUGAGAUAUUAUGUGCACAGUAGGAGUUUAAACAUUGCCCAAUUUAUGUAGAAGGUGUACUAUUUGAGGUGACUUUGAUUCCUUUUAAUUUGGUAGACUUUGAUCUCAUACUAGGGAUGGACUGGUUAUCUGUGCACGAUGCGCAUGUCGGUUGUAGGAGUAAAAUAAUGACCUUUCCUCGAUCUGGACAACCAGAUAUUGUAUUUCAAGGAGAACAAUGAAUUCUCCAUAACAAUAUUAUUUCUACCCACAAGGCAAUAAAGUCCUUACAGAAAGGUUGUGAGGGGUUCUUAGCUUAUGCAGUCGCACCGAGCGAACCUUCUGUUAGUGUUGACCAUGUGCCUAUCGUUUUAGUAGAGUUUUAUUAAAUGUACUCUCUUUAUGUUUUGGUGCAACAGUUGGAAGCGAUUCAGUCCAUCCUAGUUCGAGUGGCUCUCUAGUAGUGGAGUACUUUUGAGUGGACCCCUUCUAAACUUAAUUAUUUUUUUAUAAAAUAUUAGCCUAGCAUGCAUUUCAUACUUCAUGAUUUGAGCACGUUUUAUAAUAUGUUUUACGGAGAAUUUUAAAUUGCUUUUAUGGAAUAUUUAUGAUUUAUCGAAUUUACGUUUUACUAAAGGUUUUGAAUUAUUAGAAUUGCGUAUAUGAAAUUCUAUGGAUUUAGAAUAUGAGUUAUUUUGCAGGUUUACGAAUAUGAGAUUCCAUGGAUUUAUGGAUAUGACUUACUAUGGAUUUAUGAGACAAGGUUUGAGCUUUUGAGCUCCAAUGGUUUGAUAUGAGAUUUUUAAGUAUGUUUUCGGUACUUAUCUAGUGGAUUAUCAUACCACACAUCGACACAAUACAUGUAUGUAGACGUCUAUGGCCAUAGGACACAGUUGAGGAGAUUUAUGUAUAUACCUCUUCUCCGACAUAACCCGAAAUCGCACAGCUUCACCUUCGGGUGAUGGACCAUUGUUUUCUUCACUGAUGUAACCCAAUGGGGUUGUGGACAGGUAUUGCCUUCGGGCGGAUGAUGAGUAGAUGAUAUUGAUGAUAUACCCCCAGCUUCGCUAGCCCAGGGCUAGUGUCGGUGUGUGAUGUUAUAAUCCUCUUCUUCGGCGUAACCCGAAGUUGUACAACUUUAUCUUCGGGUGAUGGACCAUGGUUUCUUCACUGGCGUAACCCAAUGUCGUACAGCUUCACCUUCGGGUGAUGGACAGGUACUGCCUUCGGGCGACUAUGAUACCCCUAGAAAGAGUACAUUUGAGCAGAUUUACGGAUAUACCUUCGGGCGGCUAUACUACUAUUUUCGAGCCCUGUUUUAUAUGCAUUUGUUUUACGAAUGAUUUCAUGGCAUGCUAGGGUUUUCUAAGAAACCUAUUAUGUAGUAUUAUAUUUGUUUUUAAAACAGGGGGUUAGUAUGUUUAGACAUAAAAUGGUUUUCCUAUUAUUAGUAUUAAUAUAAAUUAUGAUCCACUCAUCUUUUUUGUUUUGCGCCCCCUCAGGACAUAGCGACAAAGAGUACGACCCGAGCUUCAAGGCAUUUCCCUAUCAGUGACCUUGCAUCUCUCCACUUGAGUAUGGAUUCUUUUCAUGAUCAUUGUUACCUGUUAUUUUACUUCGCUCUAGCACUUUCUUUUAGUAGUAUGCUCUAAACAUAUUCAUGAUUGUUGAAUACUUCGUUUCGUUCAUGCUUAAAUUGAAUGCAUUGUUAUUAUUGCUUCUUAAUGUUGCGUAUUCGUUGUGAAUGUUGUUUCUUGCAAAAUUUUGUAUUGCUUGUUCAUUCACAUACUCACUGAUUCACACACUCAUGGCUUUCGUCACUCUUGGGUGUCAACCAGCACGUGUCAUCCAAGUGUCAUUUGAAUAUCUGGGUUAGGAUGUGUCAGAAAAUUUGAAUGAAUAUGUGAGAAUAACAACCAUUCUCUUUGAAUAUCUAAAUAUAACAAAUGCUACUCUUGUCAUAUUUUUAUAUCAUAUUUGUAGUUGUACUCUUCUUUAAUAGAGAUAGAAUGCACUUGUGUUGGUACGUCCUAUUUUUAUUAGCGAGAUAAUACAAAUAUAAUAUGAAAAAUGUAAUAAUUGUAGAAUUAUUCCUAAAUAUAUAGUCUUAAACUAUACCUAAGGCUCCGAACAUAUGAAAACAUAAAGGAGAUAAACAAGAGGAUAAUUGCUUAUAAAGGAAAAACAAGAGGGAGAGUGCAAAAUAACUAUUUUUGGCUAUAACAAAGUCCUUAUGUUGAAUCAUUUUUGUAAUCAUUUUUUUUGUCUCAUUGUGUAAAAAAAAAAUUUAAUCAUUUUAUUAAAAAAAAUUAUUAUGUAGAGAUGAUAUUUAAAGGUGAUUAUUAUUUUUUUAUUAUACAAACGAUAUUAUCGUCACUGAGGGAAAUUGAGUUUAACCUCACAAUGAGCUAACAAUACAGUGGUUCAACUUCACCUUUAGCAAGAAUCGAACCUGAGAUCUCUCACUGACAAAUGAAGAGAAAUACUAUUUGACGAGAAUCAAACUUAAAACCUCUCAUUUACAUGUAAAAAAAGAAAAACUAUUAAAGUGGCAUAUUUAAAGAGUGACUUGAAGGUAUAAAGAAAAGUUUAAAGAGGAAGGUAUCCAGCUUUCCGUUUCCUCCAUGUCUCUUUUUUUCUGCAUGUUAGCUUCUCUAGUAAGCUCGAGUAUCCAUUUUCCAACCCCAACACCCUCCCCACAUUUCCGGCUGUCCACGUUGGCCAAUCAUCACCUGAGCCACUCUCAACCCUCACCACGGUGCCAACCCCUCCACCACCACCCCCACCACCUCCUCCUCCUCUCUCCGAUCUCCCCAAAUUCCAGUUACGAAAUCCUAAAAACAAGUAAGUUCCCUUCUUCCUCGCUAUUUAACAUUAUCUAGUUUAUUUGAUAUCUUCCAUGAAUUUAUAUUUUAUCGCCUAUGAAAUCCACGAAUAUUAAGUACUUAGUUACAUUUAGCGUUUUUGAAAAUUAUAAAAAUUAGUUUCAAAUCGAUUAUCAAGUAAUUUAGCUGCUAAACUGACUGGCAUAUGAUAGGAUUUUUAACAUCUAUGCAAAUAGGGUCAAAAUCACAUGAAAUACUUGCAAGAAUACAAGGAUAUUGUAGUAUAGAUGCUCAUGCAAGGUCGUUUUCCUCGAUGACUAUUUGGAUAAUUUAUGUAGAAACAAUUCCUAAUUAAAUACUUAGAAUUAAAACUUGAGAAAAGAGAGUUUGAGAGUGGAUAAUAUUAAAAAACGAAUUUUAAACAAAGACUAAAAUAAUCGAAGAAAAGAGUUUUAAAUACCAAUUUAUAAAGGCACUAAGGUUCCACCAUCACCUAACAAUCCUAUGAAUUGCUACCAAUUACUUACGAUUUACACAUGCCACUUCGAAGGUUAGGUUUUCCUAAUAUAUAUUCUCCUCGUGAUGUUCAAGCAAGAACGUAUAUCUAACAUGCAAUCCGUCUGUGAUAUUCAGAUCAAAUAUGAACAUGCAAGACUCAUUAAGUUUUAUGAAAACCUUUUGAAGAACCAUGCAACCCCUAAGAACGUGAUAUUCACCUUAGAUGAAAUUAAAAUUAUCAAUCACAAGAAGCAAUACUCAAUCCUCCGGUGAUAUUCCGACCGAAUUGCAUCCAAUUACUUGUCUAAACAUCCUAAUGGUGGCCAAUCAUCAAGAUAAUAAGAUAGUUUAAAACGGCAAUCAAUAAUUCAAAGUAUGCAUGGUUUCGCCCUAGCAAAAAGAAUUAGUUAUGCAUAUUCAUAAUUGAAAUCAUAGAAAAUAUUAUUAAAAAUAAAAGGAAUGAAAGCAUCUUAAAGUAGAAAAUCUCCAAGAACCAUAGCCAAGUUCUUUGUCUCUGAAAUUGAAUAAUAAUAAGCGUCCUCAAAAACUGUAGACGGCCAAAGCAAUAUAUUUGCUCAGCCCUUACAAACCCUAAGACCUUGGUUUCUUAUUCCAACUAGGAAACUAAGAAAAAAUAAUAAAAAUAUCUUAGAAAAUAAAACCCUAAUAUCUGCCAAGUACUUGUCCAGCCACGUUUUAGUCUCAGAUCUCCUCCAAAUCCGGCCCAAGAUAGGUUGUUUUAAAGAUAAGGACGUUCCAAACACAUCUCCAGAAGGCCACGAAACCAUCCGAGGUUAUCUUAGGCUCCAAAAACGCAAUUUAAUCCCACAAAUGUCAUUUUCCAGCACCGCGCAUCACUCCUUUAUUUUAUCGCCAAAAAAUAAUCGCUUGAUGGAAAAAUCCCAAAUUUUGAUACGACCAAGCUAAGUGACUCACGAACGUCUUCCAACUAGAAUUACUCCAAAAUUCGUCCAUUUGACCACGUUUUUCUCCAGAGGAAGUCGAAAGUCCUAUAUUGAAAAUACAAUUCAAAGUAUCAAAAUUCUUCCAAAAUAUUAACCAAAAUAUACUAAAAAUAGGGUUAAAUAUAUAAUAUAAAAUUCACUUAUCAGCAUACUUACUGACUGACUGGUUCUUUGUAGAUUUUGCUAAUUUGCCUCAGAAUCUGCAGCUUAUCUGACUAAAUUGUUCCAGUAUUUAGUUCAAUAGUUAGCAAAUCGAAGAAGGUUCGAUGGAAAUUCCAACUGCAUCAACAUAUGAUAAAAAACAAGAUAAAACUCUCCAAUGAAUUUGGGUGAUAAGGGAGAAACAAGUAAUCAUUUGGAGGAUCGGAUUGGUCAACUGCCGGACGCGAUUCUGAUUAACAUCAUUUCCCCUUUGAGGAUUAAGGAAGUAGCAAGGACUAGUGUCCUCUCUAAGAGGUGGAGAUAUUUGUGGACACAUGUUACACGUCUCAACUUUGCUCAUCAUGAUGGUGAACAUCUACGUACCUCCAUAAGGACCACAACAGUUAAUCCGUCAGAGAGACGUCGUCUAGAAGAAGCGACCAACAGAAGACAACGAAUCCGGCAAUCGCACCAGGGUUUAACACCUUUAAACUUAGGUGAAUUCAGAGGUGGUUCUUCCUCAGCAGGUUCCGGUUCAAGAUCUAGGCACCCCGAUGGGAUUCCAAGACAAAUUG
rnacentral:lncRNA from 1 species